AUUAUCAAGAACGAAAGUUAGAGGUUCGAAGGCGAUCAGAUACCGCCCUAGUUCUAACCAUAAACGAUGCCAGCCAGCGAUCCGGCUGUGUUCCUCAAAUGACACGCCGGGCAGCUUCCGGGAAACCAAAGCUUUUGGGUUCCGGGGGAAGUAUGGUUGCAAAGCUGAAACUUAAAGGAAUUGACGGAAGGGCACCACCAGGAAUGGAGCCUGCGGCUUAAUUUGACUCAACACGGGAAAACUUACCCGGCCCGGACACAGGAAGGAUUGACAGAUUAAGAGCUCUUUCUUGAUUCUGUGGGUGGUGGUGCAUGGCCGUUCUUAGUUGGUGGAGCGAUUUGUCUGGUUAAUUCCGAUAACGAACGAGACUCUAGCCUACUAAAUAGACGUUCCGAUCAUCUCCGUCGGACGUUCUUCUUAGAGGGACAAGCGGCGUUUAGCCGCACGAGACAGAGCAAUAACAGGUCUGUGAUGCCCUUAGAUGUCCGGGGCCGCACGCGCGCUACAUUGAAGGAAUCAGCGUGUGCUUUCCCUGUCCGACAGGACUGGGUAACCCGUUGAACCUCCUUCGUGCUGGGGAUAGGGGCUUGUAAUUGUUCCCCUUGAACGAGGAAUUCCCAGUAAGCACGAGUCAUAAGCUCGUGUUGAUUACGUCCCUGCCCUUUGUACACACCGCCCGUCGCUACUACCGAUUGAAUGAUUUAGUGAGGUCUUCGGACUGGCGCUCGGAGCGGCCCUCGGGUCGCGCCGGCGUGCCGGAAAGAUGACCAAACUUGAUCAUUUAGAGGAAGUAAAAGUCGUAACAAG
rnacentral:rRNA from 1 species